GCGCCUGUAGCUCAGUUGGCUAGAGCAUCCGGCUUUUAACCGGUAAGGUCGUGGGUUCGAGUCCCACUAGGCGCA
rnacentral:tRNA from 1 species